rnacentral:rRNA from 1 species
GCCGGCAGCUAGCUCUCUGCAACUACCACAUGGUCACCCACUGAAGCUAAGCAGGGCUGCAUCCUGUCAGUACCUGGAUGGGAGACCACAUGGGAAAGCUAGGUUGCUGCCGAAA